AAAUUGAAGAGUUUGAUCAUGGCUCAGAUUGAACGCUGGCGGCAGGCCUAACACAUGCAAGUCGAACGGUAACAGGAAGCAGCUUGCUGCUUUGCUGACGAGUGGCGAACGGGUGAGUAAUGUCUGGGAAACUGCCUGAUGGAGGGGGAUAACUACUGGAAACGGUGGCUAAUACCGCAUAACGUCGCAAGACCAAAGAGGGGGACCUUCGGGCCUCUUGCCAUCAGAUGUGCCCAGAUGGGAUUAGCUUGUUGGUGAGGUAACGGCUCACCAAGGCGACGAUCCCUAGCUGGUCUGAGAGGAUGACCAGCCACACUGGAACUGAGACACGGUCCAGACUCCUACGGGAGGCAGCAGUGGGGAAUAUUGCACAAUGGGCGCAAGCCUGAUGCAGCCAUGCCGCGUGUAUGAAGAAGGCCUUCGGGUUGUAAAGUACUUUCAGCGGGGAGGAAGGUGUUGUGGUUAAUAACCGCAGCAAUUGACGUUACCCGCAGAA
rnacentral:rRNA from 1 species